CCGGGGAGGGGCGGAACCGGAGAGUCCGAGGGACGCGUGCGUGCGCGCGCCCGCGGCCCCGCCCUCGCCGAGGUCAGACCCGGGGCGGGACCGGGAGCCUGGAGGGGCGGGGUCUGAACAAAGAGGGCGGGGCCGGGGAGGUCGAGGGGUGCGCGUUGGCUGGGUCUCCCGGAGGACCGGCUGUCACGUGUGUCGUGGGGCCUUGGGUACCCCGGUUAGGCACCGUUUGCGUGUCACGCUGCUGCAGUGCGUGUGUUGCGUAGGGCUGAAAUGUGUACGUGCUGAUCAUGUGUGGGGAAGCCGCCCUGGAGUCAGCUACCCCGAAUUCCAGCAAAGCCUCUCCCCAACUCUGUGGCCUUCCACAAGUUGCUUAACCCCUCUGAGCCUCACUGUUUCUUCAUCUGGAAAAUCUGGGUAGUGAAAAUGACUUCCUCAAACAGUUGCGGGGAGGAUGACAUUACGUAAUGGACAUGAAGCACUCAGCACUGAGCACCUGCACCUGACUACAGGCUCAGGCGGAGUUUGGAGAGGCUGACCAUGUGUUCAGUGACCCUGUCAGUGCAAUUGGAAAUCCUGAGUGUGGGGCUGUGUGUGCAGUGGGGGAAAGGGUCAGAGAGUGGGGCCCUACCUUUUUGGGGCAAAGCCCCACACUAUCCCCUUACAGACACCCUCAGAGGAGGGGAAGCCAGGGAGGUGGGGGAGAGCGGAAGGCACCAAGGUUGGGGCUGAGAGGCAUCUGACAAGGAGGAAGGCAUCAAGAGUGACAACGCUGGGCAGAGCACAUGGCUGCGUGGCCUGUCAGCUGGGGCUGCUUGUGGCUUGGACAUCCCUGGUCUCAGGGUGGAAGUGGGGCUGCUGGGGCUGAAGGGGAAGCAGGGACAGGGACAUCCUCAACUACUCUUUCUGGAAGCCAGUGAGGAAGGAAGACAGCCUGGGGCUUAACAGCAGGGCCAGGAGAAUGGAUGAAUGAAUGGGACCCUUCCUCAUGCCUCACUCAUCACUGGGCCUGCCCUGGCCUCAGCCUUCAGUCUUCAUGGAGGCCAGCAAUUGCUGCCAGCAGCCCUGGCCAUGCCAACCUCCCCAGGUCUGGUCCGUACUAUUGGGCCUCAGUUUCUCCAUCUGUAAACUGAGAGGGCGGGACCAGACAGCACAUUCCACGAGCACAUCUUGCCCCCUUCCCAAGUGCCAAUCCUCAGACACCCACGAAACACUUCCACUGUGACUGGAGUGAGGCGGCAGUUCAUCCGUUCAGAACAAGACCCCCAUGUGCACACGACUAGAAGGGCCUACUUCACAAAAAUUAUGGUGUGCCCAGUGCCCGACACCCUGGGGAGUCACUGCCACCCCGGAGGGGCCACCAAUUCAACAUGUGACAACCCGAAGUGGAGGGAAGCAGAGGAGGAAGAGACGGAGGGGGACACACAGAUGGAAACUGAGCCCAAGAACCAAGAGUGAGCCUGAGGACCACAGCGAGGGACAGCGGGAGAGGGAGGCAGCAGGCAGACGGAGGCGAGGAGCGAUUCCUUGGGCAUCUUAAGUCACUCUCUGGCCCCUGAGCAGCUGUCUCGUUUAGGGAAAAGGAUGCAGGGGUCCCCACAGGCGAGAGGCUGAACUCAGAGCUGGCCAGGUGAGAAGCGAAGCACCGAACCACUGAAAUCUCCAGGAGACCACACUGGGUGGCAGAUGUGACAGCAACCCUCUGACCUCACGGGGCGCUGCCGUCCCAGCACAACCAGAACAAGGUGUGCCGAUGCCGGGAGCAGUGCAAACGGCCCUGGACGGGGAUGCAGAGGGCUCCGGAUCAGCCUGGGGCUCGCUGUGGGGCCCUGCUGUCAUCCCUUGGAAAUGGGUACACCCCCGGCAUAUUGAGGGGGAGGCACGCAGAGGAACAAACGUGAUAAAUGCAUCCAUGGGCUGCAAAUCGGGGGCCGCUCGGACAGCUGUCCCCCACUCCUGCAGUGCUCGCUGCCUGGCACUGUGAGGAGUCACUGCCACCCCCGAGGGGCCACCAAUUCAACAUGUGACAGGCCGAAGUGGAGGGAAGCAGAGGAGAGAGGAAGACAUAGAGGGAAACUGAACCCAAGACCCAAAAGUGAGCCGGAGGACCACAGCGGGAGAGGGAGGCAGCAGGCAGACGGAAGCGAGGAGACAGGGCGCAGAGGGGCUGCGGGGGGUGCUGGGCACACCUGGCUGAGGAAGGGACCAAAGGCCCAGAGGGUCCCAUAGUCUCAGCCUAGUACCUGUCCCCAAGCCCAGGGGCCCUGAUCACAAGGCAGCAACGUCUAUCCCACAGCUGUGAUAGGUGGGGCACAUCACACCCCGAGGGGCCCCGGCAUCCAUGAUCUCCCCUCCUGGAGGGUGGUCAGCCGCCAUCCUGGCCCCGGACUCCUUGGAAAUGCUCCACAAAGUGCCAGCUGGAAAUGUCACAGCACAGGGGGCCUUGGGAUGAGCCAGCCCCAAGGGGCCAUUCUUUCCUGUGGGUUUGGGGAACUCUUUUAAGAUCUGGAGUGCAGAUUCGGGUUCCAGUGCCUGCUCUGUGUCUUCCUAGCCUUAGUUUCACCUCCUGGGGCCUCAAUUUCUCCAUCAGUAAAAUGGGGACAGUAACCGUCAUAGCACCAGCUCUCAGGCUUCUCAGGGGAGCAGACAGUGAAGCAGUGCACAGAAGUCCUUGGUAAUCCAAGAAGCACCCUCUGGACGGAGCUGCCAGGACAGCCCGCAGCCACCCUGGACUGACCCGUGGGGCUGGGGGCAGCUGGGGAGGCCAAGCGUGUGCACACGGGCACCAGCAGCAGAGCAGACCCCCAGUCUCCUCUCUCAUACCCGAGAUGGGAGAUGAAGACUCCCCUGUGAGUUCCAAACUCCUCCAACCAGUUCUGGCAGGGAAGAAAGGGAGUCCUGGGAAAGCAACUCCCAUGCCUGGGGCUCGGCGGUGACCCACCCAGCCCCUCCCCGGCAG
rnacentral:lncRNA from 1 species